UUUCGGUGCAUGUCUGUGUUGUUGUUAUGUUAUUUUAUAUUGUGGAAUUUGCUGGAACUUUGAAUUGAUUUUCUCAUUGAAUAAGAGGUAGAAUCGAAAAAAGGAAUUACGUUUAAUGUAGUCGAAUUUUGAGUAAUUUAAAGUGUUUUUAGUGGAUUUGUGAGUGAAUUAGUGACAGUUUGGAGCAGUUAAUUCGAAUUUUGAGUAAUUUGAAGUGUUUUUAGUGGAUUUGUGAGUGAAUUAGUGAGAGUUUGGAGUAGAUAAUUCGAAUUUUGAGUAAUUUGAAGUGUUUUUAGUGGAUUUGUGAGUGAAUUAGUGAGAGUUUGGAGUAGUUAAUUCGAAUUUUGAGUAAUUUGAAGUGUUUUUAGUGGAUUUGUGAGUGAAUUCGGGAGAGUUUGGAGUAGUUAAUUCGAAUUUUGAGUAAUUUGAAGUGUUUUUAGUAGAUUUGUGAGUGAAUUCGGGAGAGUUUGGAGUAGUUAAUUCGAAUUUUGAGUAAUUUGAAAUGUUUUUAGUGGAUUUGUGAGUGAAUUAGUGAGAGUUUGGAGUAGUUAAUUCGAAUUUUGAGUAAUUUGAAGUGUUUUUAGUGGAUUUGUGAGUGAAUUAGUGAAAGUUUGGAGACAUAAAUUAGCUACACUGGUUCCUGCUUCCACUUGGUGUCCAACUCGAUUUGUAUUUUCCCGUGUUCCGUUUGGUGAGGGCAACAGGAAUGGUCAGCAAUCUCUUGCUAAUGAUGAUCUGGAAUUGAGACCUGACCAACAUGGUGACAUGUCUGGAGAUGGACUAACUGCCUUGGUUGGACUGAGUGACGGAGGAAGGAAUAUUAAUGUUCAAGGGUGGCAGACAGAGAGUGCUUUUCAUAUAGCUCUAAGAAAUAGUUUCAUUGAAACCUUUGCUGCUGGGCCAAGUGGUAGUGGUACUCAGAUGGGAGAGUCUUCAGACUAAAAUAUUGACGGCCAGUGUGAGAACACAAGCAAUGCAUCUAUAUCGUUAGAUAUGAAGACACCUCUAAGUCACUUCCCUCCAUUUCGAUUUGGGGUAGAAUUUGCUGAUGUGCAUCGACUUAAUGAUGGUCAGGUUAAACACUCACCAGAAGCAUUUUAUGCUGGUUCAUUUUGGAAAAUAAGUGUUCAAGCUUUUAAUGAUGAAGAUCCUCAAGGGCGUAGGAUUUACUAUUUUAUGCAAGUAAUUGGUUAUUAAAUCAUGAAUGACUGAAAAACAAAGGGAAAUUAUUUUGAAUAAAAUAUUCCUUUUGAAAUAUAUGCUUUAUUUGGAUUUAGUAGUGAGUACAUUGUAAGUUUAAUUUACACAAUAAUAGCUACUCUUAUUUCAUUCGCUCUUCAUUUAUGGUUUAUAU